rnacentral:lncRNA from 1 species
AAAAAGUAAAAAUAAAACAUCAUAGAUGUGGAUGAAUAGAAUUAUAUUUUAUUAAUGACAAUUGAGAAAUGCCUAACAAUGUUCACUUCUCCCUUAGGCAUAGGAGAAGGAUUUUUCUUAAAAUAUGAAAAAAAAAUACUUAGAGUGAUGGAGAAUAACAGGAAUAUCAACAACAACCCAAUUGUUGCAAGUCUUGCCAUGCGUCACAAAGUUGGCACAGUCUUCGUCUUCAUCAUCCUCGAUCACAACAAUUGAGUGUUGCUCAUUACCAUGGAUGAACC